rnacentral:rRNA from 1 species
CCUACGGGUGGCAGCAGUAGGGAAUAUUGCUCAAUGGGGGAAACCCUGAAGCAGCAACGCCGCGUGGAGGAUGAAGGUUUUCGGAUUGUAAACUCCUUUUGUUAGAGAAGAUAAUGACGGUAUCUAACGAAUAAGCACCGGCUAACUCCGUGCCAGCAGCCGCGGUAAUACGGAGGGUGCAAGCGUUACUCGGAAUCACUGGGCGUAAAGGGCGCGUAGGCGGGAUAGAAAGUCAGAUGUGAAAUCCUAUGGCUUAACCAUAGAACUGCAUUUGAAACUGUUGUUCUAGAGUAUGGGAGAGGUAGGUGGAAUGCUUGGUGUAGGGGUAAAAUCCGUAGAGAUCAAGAGGAAUACUCAUUGCGAAGGCGACCUGCUAGAACAUAACUGACGCUGAUGCGCGAAAGCGUGGGGAGCAAACAGGAUUAGAUACCCGGGUAGUC